rnacentral:rRNA from 1 species
CCUACGGGAGGCAGCAGUGGGGAAUAUUGGGCAAUGGGCGCAAGCCUGACCCAGCAACGCCGCGUGAAGGAAGAAGGCUUUCGGGUUGUAAACUUCUUUUCUGAGGGACGAAGAAAGUGACGGUACCUCAGGAAUAAGCCACGGCUAACUACGUGCCAGCAGCCGCGGUAAUACGUAGGUGGCAAGCGUUAUCCGUAUUUAUUGGUUGGAAAGGGCGUGUAGGCGGGAAAGCAAGUCAGAUGUGAAAACUCAGGGCUCAACCUGGAGCCUGCAUGUGAAACUGUUUUUCUUGAGUGCUGGAGAGGCAAUCGGAAUUCCGUGUGUAGCGGUGAAAUGAGUAGAUAUACGGAGGAACACCAGUGGCGAAGGCGGAUUGCUGGACAGUAACUGACGCUGAGGCGCGAAAGCGUGGGGAGUAAACAGGAUUAGAUACCCGAGUAGUC